rnacentral:snRNA from 1 species
GGAUAUGAGGGUGAUCUGGCUGUGACAUCUGCCACCCCAUUGAUUGCCAGGGUUGAUUUGUCUGAUCUGGCUGGCUAGGUGGGUGUUCCCUUCCUCCCUCACUGCUCCAUGUGCAUCCCUCCUGAAGCUGUGUGCCCAGUCAAAGGGGAUGACCAUCCCCAAUAGAGGAGGACUGUUCUCGGGUCAAGGGUAUCUGAGUCACUGUGCUCUUCUGCUAGAACCUCCAAAUAAGCUCUCAAAAGUCCCAGAACAAACUGUCCAUUGAGAGGAAGCUGCCCGAGGCCAGAGGCUUCAUCCACUUGACAAUUUUUUCCAGU